rnacentral:lncRNA from 12 species
UCAAGAUCACUCACGUUUAGCCUGGUAUGAGCAGCCCAGCAAAGCUAACUCUCUCCAUAUUCUGGCCCUUCAUCCCCAGGUUUGCCCACCAAUUUCUAGAUCCAGGCACAUAUGUAUUUCAAGACAACGGGCUGCCUGAGAGCAUCAUGGUGGUGCUGGUAAAGAAGAAAGGAGCAGCCUGCGAUCCUGGUCUAUCCCCUAUACAGCCCUCCUCCCCAUAUCAGCUGGGCAGGCACGGAGUUCUCAGGCACAGACCACCGAACCUGGGCCCAGACUGGGCAGUGAUCACAGGUACUGACCCCAGAGUAGAGUAGCCCAGACUCAGAGGGGGGAUGGGAAAAGCCUUGCACAGCAUGACCCUCAGUCCUGUCACUCUGAGCAUAGCCCCAAAGACUCCUGGUGGGCACAAAAACAACCUUCUCUGAACUAGGACUUCACUUGCCAGGUAAAGACAAUUUCAUUUCCUUCUGGGGUCCUCUUUCUCCCCACCUCCCAAGCCCCUCAGUUUGGGGACCUAUCCUUAUGAGCAGGGUCUCAUGGUGAACAGGGAGUCAUAGGCUCACGGAGAUGCCCUUUCUAACCUCCUCCGUGGGUUUUCCAUUCAUCUUCUUUCCUGCUUAUCUUUAAGCAAUCUCAUUGAGCUUUCCAGGUUGAGCCUCAGACACUGGGUUAGUCCUGGCCCCCUGCCCAAGACAGCAGAGAGAAGGCAAGCCUGCAGCGGCUGAGACAGAAAGCCCGCAGAUGCCCUGAGUGGUCAUCACGUGGCCCCUGACUCUCUCCUCUGAACUUGCAGGAGUGCUACUGGCUAUUGGUUUAGCAACCUUUCUGCUGACAGGCCUCAGCCUCCUACUGAGACCCCCACCGGCCCAGGCCUGCCCUGUGAGGACUUGGCAGCCCCAGUGGAGGGGCACUGGGGAACCUCACAUGCCCACUGAGUAUGUGCCCCUCAGAGACAGGAGAGCCACUCCUUGUGAAGACCCUGGAGGACUUCAGCAUCCGUACUCUCUAUAACAAGCUCGAGGACCAGAAUCUGCACGUGGCAGCCCAGCUGAGGAAGCACAGGAGUGAUGCCCUGGCCUUCUACAGGGGUGCAAGCCUACAGCUCCAGGGUCUCAAGGUCAGCCACAGUUCCCAGACAACCAAGCCUCCAUCAUCCCUGCCACCUCAGAGAGCGGGACCCCCACUCACCCACUUCUGGAAAUUGUCCAAACCAAGAAGGACACUCAUAACUAAGAGAGUGACACAGUCUUGGCUCUUCCAGGACAUUCUGCAGCCUCUCUGCACAACUGAGCAGCAGGCUCUGGACAGGAGUGAAGGCCCAGCAAUGGAAGCCAACACUGGUGCCAGGACAGACACGGGGCAGAGUGAGGAAUCAUGGGGUCACCGCACUGCAGCUUCACCCAGGGCACACUGGCGACACCCUCUAGGUGAGAGGCAGGGGCCCGGGGGCACAACCAUGAGGGCAGACUGAAAGUCAUAAUAUUAGUUCCAGCGUUGUAUAACACCUAACUCUGCAUCUCACAUUUACCAUCUCACCUGACGCUCAGCACCCCUGUGUCGUCACUGGGUGGCAUCAACCCUGAUCACAGAAGAUGGUCCUGGGCCCAGGGAAGGAUCUGAUUUGCCAGAGGAAGGGGAGCCUCAGAUAACAUCCAGCAGGGCAGUGUCUGCCUCAGCCGUCCUGCUGGCCAGAACCACCACUGUGUUUUAGGGCUGGCUGAGGAUAGCAGGGUGCCAGGGCCCUGAGGCUCUUGAGUGUCUCCUUAGUUUAUGUCUUUGGUUUUAUUUUUCUAGAAGACAAAAGCAGUACAUGCUCCUUACAAAAGUUCCAUCAGUACAAAAGAGUAAACAAUGGAAAGCUAAAGUGCACUUGACUCCAAAUCUCAGCCACCUUGAAGGUCUAUAAGUAAAUGUUUAUUUGCUCUUUUGUGAACUCUGUGGAAGACUGCUCCAUUAGAGUCUAUACUCUGAAGUACUCCUGCUACCUGGUAGAGUCUAAACCUCUUCAAGGUUGAAAAGACUUCUUCCUUCACUGUAAGGAAGCAUGUGCUGGGCAGAUCUUAAGAUGGAACAGGGACUGGGUGUGGAGAGACAUCCCUAGGUCCCCCUCCAUGCUCUGACUUAUAGCCACACUCAGAUAGGAGAGAUCCCAAAACAGAGCAUUGUCUUGGGUGGGUCUGGCAGGUGGCAGCUCUGGGUGGGUGAUCUCCAAGUUGCCCCUGAAUGAUCCCAGUGCUCCCUGUGUUUGGACCACUGAAUAAAGCACAGCGUUAGCUGCCA